rnacentral:rRNA from 1 species
AUUGAACGCUGGCGGCACGCCUAACACAUGCAAGUCGAGCGGCAGCGCGAUAUGUAGCAAUACAUAUUGGCGGCGAGCGGCGGACGGGUGAGGAACACGUAGGAACCUGCCCUCGAGUGGGGGAUAACGAAGGGAAACUUUGGCUAAUACCGCAUGAUUUCGAGAGAGCAAAGCUGCCGCAAGGUGGCACUCGAGGAGGGGCCUGCGUCCGAUUAGCUAGUUGGUGAGGUAAGAGCUCACAAAGGCGAUGAUCGGUAACUGGUCUGAGAGGACGACCAGUCACACUGGGACUGAGACACGGCCCAGACUCCUACGGGAGGCAGCAGUGGGGAAUAUUGGACAAUGGGGGCAACCCUGAUCCAGCGAUGCCGCGUGAGUGAAGAAGGCCUUCGGGUCGUAAAGCUCUUUAGGUUGGGAAGAAGAGUGAUGGAGGAAAUGCUAUCACUUUGACGGUACCGACAGAAUAAGCACCGGCAAACUCUGUGCCAGCCGCCGCAGUAAAAC